AGAGUUUGAUCCUGGCUCAGGAUGAACGCUGGCGGCGUGCCUAACACAUGCAAGUCGAACGCUCGCAAGAGAGUGGCGCACGGGUGAGUAACACGUAGCUAAUCUGCCCUCGAGACCGGGAUAACGAUAGGAAACUAUCGCUAAUACCGGAUAAGCUUACGCGCUGUAGAGGCGCAUAAGAAAAGAUUUAUCGCUUGAGGAUGAGGCUGCGAGCCAUCAGCUAGUUGGUGCGGUAAUGGCGUACCAAGGCGACGACGGCUAGGGGACCUGAGAGGGUGACCCCCCACACUGGGACUGAGACACGGCCCAGACUCCUACGGGAGGCAGCAGUGAGGAAUAUUGCUCAAUGGGCGCAAGCCUGAAGCAGCGACGCCGCGUGGAUGAAGAAGGUUUUCGGACUGUAAAAUCCUUUUCUGUGUGACGAGAGUGGACGGUAGCACAGGAAUAAGUCUCGGCUAACUACGUGCCAGCAGCCGCGGUAAAACGUAGGAGGCAAGCGUUAUCCGGAGUUACUGGGCGUAAAGCGCGUGUAGGUGGAUUGGUAAGUUGCUUAUAAAAGCUCCUGGCUAAACUAGGAGAGGUUGGGUGAUACUGCCAGUCUUGAAUAGAGGAGAGGUUGACGGAAUUCCGCGUGUAGUGGUGAAAUGCGUAGAGAUGCGGAAGAACACCAGUGGCGAAGGCGGUCAACUGGCCUCAUAUUGACACUCAGACGCGAAGGCAUGGGUAGCGAACGGGAUUAGAAACCCGGUAGUCCCAUGCAAUAAACGAUGUACACUGAAUGUUCGUUGUCCUACGAGGCAAUGAGUGUUGAAGCAAACGCGUUAAGUGUACCGCCUGGGGAGUACGGUCGCAAGGCUAAAACUCAAAGGAAUUGACGGGGGCCCGCACAAGCAGCGGAGCGUGUGGUUUAAUUCGAGGGUACGCGAAGAACCUUACCUAGGUUUGACAUACAAGUGGUAGGGACCUGAAAGGGGACCGACUCUUCGGAGAGCUUGUACAGGUGCUGCAUGGUUGUCGUCAGCUCGUGCCGUGAGGUGUUCGGUUAAGUCCGCAAACGAGCGCAACCCUCGGCGUUAGUUACAAGUGUCUAACGCAACUGCCCGUGGCAAACGGGAGGAAGGUGGGGAUGACGUCAAAUCAGCAUGGCCUUUAUAUCUAGGGCUACACACACGCUACAAUGGCGCGUACAAUGGGUAGCGAAGCCGCGAGGUGGAGCCAAUCCCGAAAGCGCGUCUCAGUUCAGAUUGUAGGCUGCAACUCGCCUGCAUGAAGUCGGAGUUGCUAGUAACCGUGUAUCAGCACGGCACGGUGAAUACGUUCCCGGGCCUUGUACACACCGCCCGUCACGUCAUGGGAGUUGGUUACGCCUGAAGUCGGGAAGCUAACCGCAAGGAGGCUACCGCCGAAGGCAGGACUGAUGACUGGGACGAAGUCGUACAAGGUAGCAGUAGCGGAAGCUGCGGCUGGAUCACCUCCU
rnacentral:rRNA from 1 species